ACGGGUGAGUAACGCGUAGGAAUCUGCCCUGUAGAGGGGGAUAACCCGGGGAAACCCGGGCUAAUACCGCAUAGUACUCUGAGGAGGAAAGCUGGCCUUUCGGGGCUGGCGCUAUGGGAGGAGCCUGCGUCCGAUUAGUUAGCUGGUGAGGUAAAGGCUCACCAGGGCGAUGAUCGGUAGCUGGUCUGAGAGGAUGACCAGCCACACUGGGACUGAGACACGGCCCAGACUCCUACGGGAGGCAGCAGUGGGGAAUAUUGGACAAUGGGGGCAACCCUGAUCCAGCAAUGCCGCGUGUGUGAAGAAGGCCUUCGGGUUGUAAAGCACUUUGGUCGGGGAAGAAAGUGGACAGUUUAAGAGAUAGUUCACGUGACGGUACCCGAAGAACAAGCACCGGCUAACUCUGUGCCAGCAGCCGCGGUAAUACAGAGGGUGCGAGCGUUAAUCGGAAUAACUGGGCGUAAAGGGCGCGUAGGCGGAUUGGCAAGUGGGUUGUGAAAUACCUGGGCUUAACCUGGGAAUGGCAACCUAAACUGCUGAUCUGGAGUACUGUAGAGGAUAGUGGAAUUUCCGGU
rnacentral:rRNA from 1 species